UACGUAGGGUGCGAGCGUUUGUCCGGAAUUAUUGGGCGUAAAGAGCUCGUAGGCGGUUUGUCGCGUCGACUGUGAAAACUGGGGGCUUAACUCUCAGCUUGCAGUUGAUACGGGCAGACUUGAGUUCGGUAGGGGAGACUGGAAUUCCUGGUGUAGCGGUGAAAUGCGCAGAUAUCAGGAGGAACACCGAUGGCGAAGGCAGGUCUCUGGGCAUUAACUGACGCUGAGGAGCGAAAGCAUGGGGAGCGAACAGG
rnacentral:rRNA from 1 species